rnacentral:tRNA from 1 species
GCCCGGAUGGCGGAACUGGUAGACGCAAGGGACUUAAAAUCCCUCGGCCUUAGGCUGUACGAGUUCGAUUCUCGUUCCGGGUACCA